GCCCAGAUAGCUCAGUCAGAAGAGCAACAGACUUUUAUUCUGAGGGUCCAGGGUUUAAGUCCCUGUUCGGGCA
rnacentral:tRNA from 1 species